rnacentral:rRNA from 2 species
UGGGGAAUAUUGGGCAAUGGGGGCAACCCUGACCCAGCGACGCCGCGUGAGGGAAGACGGCCUUCGGGUUGUAAACCUCUUUUGUACGGGAAGAAGGACGUGACGGUACCGUACGAAUAAGUCCCGGCUAACUACGUGCCAGCAGCCGCGGUAAUACGUAGGGGACGAGCGUUGUCCGGAAUUACUGGGCGUAAAGGGCGCGCAGGCGGUAUAUCAAGUCAGCUGUCAAAGACUGGGGCUCAACCCUGGUAUGCGGUUGAAACUGAUAUGCUGGAGUGCUGUAGAGGCAAGUGGAAUUCCCAGUGUAGCGGUGAAAUGCGUAGAUAUUGGGAAGAACACCGGUGGCGAAGGCGACUUGCUGGGCAGCAACUGACGCUGAGGCGCGAAAGCCAGGGGAGCAAACGGG